UACGUAGGGGGCAAGCGGUUGUCCGGAUUUAUUGGGCGUAAAGAGCGUGUAGGCGGUCAGGUAGGUCGGUUGUGAAAACUGGAGGCUCAACCUUCAGAGGUCGACCGAAACCCCCUGGCUAGAGUCCGGGAGAGGAGAGUGGAAUUCCGUGGUGUAGCGGUGAAAUGCGCAGAUAUCAGGAAGAACACCCGUGGCGAAAGCGGCUCUCUGGAACGGUACUGACGCUGAGACGCGAAAGCGUGGGGAGCGAACAGG
rnacentral:rRNA from 1 species